UACGUAGGGGGCAAGCGUUGUCCGGAUUUAUUGGGCGUAAAGAGCGUGUAGGCGGCUAGACAGGUCCGCUGUGAAAACUCGAGGCUCAACCUCGAGAUGUCGGCGGAAACCGUCUGGCUAGAGUCCGGAAGAGGAGAGUGGAAUUCCUGGUGUAGCGGUGAAAUGCGCAGAUAUCAGGAAGAACACCUAUGGCGAAGGCAGCUCUCUGGGACGGUACUGACGCUGAGACGCGAAAGCGUGGGGAGCGAACAGG
rnacentral:rRNA from 1 species